rnacentral:rRNA from 1 species
GCUAACACAUGCAAGUCGAACGGCAGCACAGCAGUAGCAAUACUGUGGGUGGCGAGUGGCGGACGGGUGAGGAAUACAUCGGAAUCUGCCUUAUCGUGGGGGAUAACGUAGGGAAACUUACGCUAAUACCGCAUACGACCUUAGGGUGAAAGCGGAGGACCGCAAGGCUUCGCGCGAUAAGAUGAGCCGAUGUCGGAUUAGCUAGUUGGCGGGGUAAUGGCCCACCAAGGCGACGAUCCGUAGCUGGUCUGAGAGGAUGAUCAGCCACACUGGAACUGAGACACGGUCCAGACUCCUACGGGAGGCAGCAGUGGGGAAUAUUGGACAAUGGGCGCAAGCCUGAUCCAGCCAUGCCGCGUGUGUGAAGAAGGCCUUCGGGUUGUAAAGCACUUUUGUCCGGAAAGAAAAGCUUUGGGCUAAUACCCCGAAGUCAUGACGGUACCGGAAGAAUAAGCACCGGCUAACUUCGUGCCAGCAGCCGCGGUAAUACGAAGGGUGCAAGCGUUACUCGGAAUUACUGGGCGUAAAGCGUGCGUAGGUGGUUUGUUAAGUCUGAUGUGAAAGCCCUAGGCUCAACCUGGGAA